GUUUCAAUUCCUCAUAGGCAGGCUAUCGGCCCAUGUGGGAAACGGAUGUCAAGGGCGUUCUCGGCG
rnacentral:sRNA from 1 species